CAGCCGCCACGGUAAUACGUAGGUGGAAAGCGUUGUCCGGAAUUAUUGGGCGUAAAGGGCUCGCAGGCGGUUUCUUAAGUCUGAUGUGAAAGCCCCCGGCUCAACCGGGGAGGGUCAUUGGAAACUGGGAAACUUGAGUGCAGAAGAGGAGAGUGGAAUUCCACGUGUAGCGGUGAAAUGCGUAGAGAUGUGGAGGAACACCAGUGGCGAAGGCGACUCUCUGGUCUGUAACUGACGCUGAGGAGCGAAAGCGUGGGGAGCGAACAGGAUUAGAUACCCCAGUAGUCCCUGUCUCUUAUAC
rnacentral:rRNA from 1 species